rnacentral:lncRNA from 1 species
GUAAAUAUGAUAUAAGCAAAACUUGUAAAUAUAGAUUAUUUGUUAGGACAAGAGUGAGAAUUACCUCAAAUUAAUAAACCAGUAAUACCAACAUCUAGUAGUUUAUAUGAAAAUUAAGAUGGAAGUGCAAGUAUAACCUUUGGAAAUUAUAAAACUGUAAAUGUAGAGGUAAAGUCAGAUAGUGAGAUCAAAAUUGUAAAUGUUAUAGAAGAAGAGAUUUUAUUAAAUAUUGAAAAGUAGAAAACCUAUACAAAAACUUAGAGCUAGUUAAUAUAAUAUUAGAGGAAUUCAGUAACCCCACGUUACUAGGUAUAUAAAAAAAACUUUGUUGAUAUAAUGUGUAAAUA